AUGGAGUUUCCGUCGGCGAUCGCUUGGUUUUUCAAGAAAGCCAAAUACCCGCUGAUCUGGCUUGCCAUCUUGUUCUCUGCCGGCCUGUUCCUCUUGCUUAUGUCCGAGGUUGUAAUUCCUCUCGUCACACCAAACUAUCCGGAGAAAAGUUACCACCAAGUAGAAAUCACCGGCAUCGAGGCAUCCAGCUUCCAGACUCCGCGCUUCAACCUCACCGCGCGCGUCACCAGCCGCCACGAGCGGCGCGAGAUGUGCGUGACCAUCUGGGAGGCUGAUGUGUGGUACGGCGGGGCACCCCUGGGUAAGGCGUACUUCCCCAAGACAUGCCUGAAGAACAUGACAGAAGCGGUGGUGACGGCGACGACGUCGACCGACUUGCUCGGGCUAAGCAUGGCCAACGGGACAUCGGGGUUGCUUCAGGUCGAGAUGACACAGUGCACCGAUUUGCUGUUUGAUGAUGGCACCUCAACCGGUGAAAAAAGAUGCCACUGGCUAUGGUGCAAGGCCACGUUGGGCGGGCAGUCUCACCAGCCCCCCUCCCCCUGCCGCAUCUACCCCAUGACUCGGGCAGAGACUAGUGAUACAAGGUUCUUUCUUGUUCCAAGAAUGUGA
rnacentral:rRNA from 1 species